GACGAACGCUGGCGGCGUGCUUAACACAUGCAAGUCGAACGGAAAGGCCUGCUUUCCCUUGUGGAUUGCGGGUACUCGAGUGGCGAACGGGUGAGUAACACGUGAGUGAUCUGCCCCCAACUUGGGUAUAAGCCUGGGAAACUGGGUCUAAUUCCCGAUAGGACUGCAGGGUGGUGCCUGUGGUGGAAAACGAUUUUCUAGUGGUUGGGGAUGAGCUCGCGGCCUAUCAGCUUGUUGGUGGGGUAAUGGCCUACCAAGGCGGCGACGGGUAGCCGGCCUGAGAGGGUGGACGGCCACAUUGGGACUGAGAUACGGCCCAGACUCCUACGGGAGGCAGCAGUGGGGAAUAUUGCACAAUGGGCGGAAGCCUGAUGCAGCGACGCCGCGUGGGGGAUGACGGCCUUCGGGUUGUAAACUCCUUUCGACCGCGAGGAAGCCACCUGGUUGGGAGGGUGGUGACGGUAGUGGUGGAAGAAGCACCGGCUAACUACGUG
rnacentral:rRNA from 1 species